rnacentral:rRNA from 1 species
UCAAAGGGAGCGGCGGACGGCUGAGUAACACGUAGGAAUCUGCCCCUUUCUGGGGGAUAGCUCAUCGAAAGGUGAGGUAAUACCCCAUAGUCUAAGCCUAGCUUAGUAAAGAUUUAUCGGAAAGGGAUGAGCCUGCGGCCUAUCAGGUAGUUGGCGGGGUAAAAGCCCACCAAGCCUAUGACGGGUAGCUAAUCUGGGAGGAUGAUUAGCCAGAGGGGGACUGAGACACGGCCCCC